UGGUCGUUGUGUAGCAAUACAUGAUGGCCGGGAGUGGCGAAAGGGGCAGUAAUGUAUAGGUAACCUACCCUGGGGAUGGGGAUAGCCGUUCUAACGAGCGGGUAAUACCCAGCGAUUUGACGAGGAGGCAUCUCUUUGUCAAGAAAUGAGUUUCGCCUCGGGAGGGGCUUAUAUCGUAUUAGCUAGUUGGUGAGGUGAUGGCUUACCAAGGCAUAGAUGCGUAGCGGGUGUGAGAGCACGACCCGCGCCACUGGCACUGAGACACUGGCCAGACACCUACGGGUGGCUGCAGUCGAGGAUCUUCGGCAAUGAGCGCAAGCUUGACCGAGCGACGCCGCGUGGAUGAUGAAGGCCUUCGGGUUGUAAAGUCCUGUCGAGGGGGAUAAAAGCGUAAGCUUGAUUGAUCCCUGGAGGAAGGGCGGGCUAAGUUCGUGCCAGCAGCCGCGGUAAGACGAACUGCCCAAACGUUGUUCGGAAUCACUGGGCUUAAAGGGCGCGUAGGCGGCAUUCCAAGUCAGGGGUGAAAUCCGGCAGCUUAACUGUCGAAGUGCCUUUGAUACUGGAGUGCUCGAGGGAGGUAGGGGUCUGUGGAACUUCUGGUGGAGCGGUGAAAUGCGUUGAUAUCAGAAGGAACGCCGGUGGCGAAAGCGACGGACUGGACCUUUUCUGACGCUGAGGCGCGAAAGCUAGGGGAGCAAACGGGAUUAGAUACCCCGGUAGUCCUAGCCCUAAACGAUGAGUACUAGAUAGUAGACUAAUCAUGGGUUUACUGUCGAAGCAAAAGUGUUAAGUACUCCGCCUGGGGAGUAUGGUCGCAAGGCUG
rnacentral:rRNA from 1 species